GACGAACGCUGGCGGCGUGCUUAAUACAUGCCAGUCGAACGAAAAGACCCUGCGCUUGUGGGUUGCUCGUUUGCCGCACACGUGAGUGACACAUGAGUAUCAUGCCCUUGUCUUUGUGGUAACUUCACGAGACUGCGGCUAAUACCGGAUAGAAUCUCCUGCUGCAUGUUGGUGGAUGGAGAGUGUCGGCUGUUGUGGAUCGACUGGCGGCUUAUCCGCUUGUUGGUGUGGUAGUGGCUUACAAAGGCUUUGACGGGUAGCCGGCCUUGGAGCGUGACCGGCGACAUGGCUACUGAGAUACGGACCAGACGCCUACGGGAGGCAGCAGGCGGGAACAUUGCACAAUGGGCGGACGUCUGAUGCAGCAACCCUGCGUUCGGGAUGACGUCUUACGGGGUGUAAACCGCUUUCGCAGGUGACGAAGCCUGAUUGACGGUAACGGGUAAAGAAGCACCGGCUAACUACGUG
rnacentral:rRNA from 1 species